GAUGGAGCUUGCUCCAGGCGUCRAGCGGCGGACGGGUGAKUAAUGCAUAGGAAUCUGCCCGGUAGUGGGGGAUAACCUGGGGAAACCCAGGCUAAUACCGCAUACGUCCUACGGGAGAAAGCAGGGGAUCUUCGGACCUUGCGCUAUCGGAUGAGCCUAUGUCGGAUUAGCUUGUUGGUGAGGUAAUGGCUCACCAAGGCGACGAUCCGUAGCUGGUCUGAGAGGAUGAUCAGCCACAUCGGGACUGAGACACGGCCCGAACUCCUACGGGAGGCAGCAGUGGGGAAUAUUGGACAAUGGGCGAAAGCCUGAUCCAGCCAUGCCGCGUGUGUGAAGAAGGCUUUCGGGUUGUAAAGCACUUUCAGUGAGGAAGAAAGCCUUGGGGCUAAUACCCCCAAGGGACGACAUCACUCACAGAAGAAGCACCGGCUAACUCCGUGCCRGCRGCCGCGGUAAUACGGAGGGUGCGAGCGUUAAUCGGAAUUACUGGGCGUAAAGCGCGCGUAGGCGGCGUGAUAAGCCGGUUGUGAAAGCCCCGGGCUCAACCUGGGAACGGCAUCCGGAACUGUCAGGCUAGAGUGCAGGAGAGGAAGGUAGAAUUCCCGGUGUAGCGGUGAAAUGCGUAGAGAUCGGGAGGAAUACCAGUGGCGAAGGCGGCCUUCUGGACUGACACUGACGCUGAGGUGCGAAAGCGUGGGUAGCAAACAGGAUUAGAUACCCUGGUAGUCCACGCCGUAAACGAUGUCGACUAGCCGUUGGGGUCCUUGAGACCUUUGUGGCGCAGUUAACGCGAUAAGUCGACCGCCUGGGGAGUACGGCCG
rnacentral:rRNA from 1 species